UUACACAUUUGAUAUUUAUUAAAGAAAAGUAAUUAUGUAUUAUUUAUAAAAAUUUAUUUCGUUAAAAAUUAUUUUAACCCCUUGUGUGGAUUAUCAUUUCUUACUGUACGAAGAGAUAAAGAGGAAUACUUGUAUAAAUGUUUAUUUUUUAUUUUUUAUUUUUUUGAGAAUGCUACUAGCAGUCCUUUAUUGUCUCUCUCUCUGGGUCCGUUACUCUCUUUGUUACAUAUUUGAUAUUUAUUUAAGUAAAAUAAUUAUCUAAUAUUUUUUGUAAUUUCCCCAAUAUCUUCAUAACCUCGUACGGGUCAACUUCUAUCUUGUGUACGGAUGAACGGAUAGUCAUCUUUACACCUCUUACAUAUUUAUUUUUUAAAAUAUAUCAAUUAAACCUCUAACCUUUUAAAAUAGUAAUAAAAAAAAAUUCGACAUUAAUUUUCGCAAAAUUAAUGACGGAAGUCAUCUAUAUAGAAGAUUUUUUAGCCUAGCCCGUCCCCGUAAAACUUUGGAAUCAAUUUUCCCUCACAAAAUAUUGAUGUGGACAGGCUAGGCAGAAAAAUUGCAACUUCCAUUAUUAAUUUGACAAGAGUUCACUUUGUAGUACAAAUGAUUGAUAUUCAAAAUGUCAAGAUUUAAAUUUUAUUUUUUCAAAGUUAUGCGACAUUUGAGUAAAAGAUUAGGAGAGAUUUUAAUUUUUUUUCUAUUUUUUAAGAAAAACAAUUUGCUAAAAUUGAUUUAAAAAAAAUCUUGGGUAAAUCUCACUGAUAUCUCCUAAUUUUUCUGACAAAUAUAGUAACCUUAUUAGUUUCUAAAAUAGCAAAGAUCUUCUCUACUUUUAAAACUAUUAUCAAUAUUUUUUUCUGUAAUUAAUUUUUUAACAGAAAUAAUAAGAUUGCCGUUAAAAUUUAUGGCUUCAUUUUAAUCUCAAUACGCCAAAUAAAAUAAAAUAAAUAUUCUCUCUUUUUUUAAAACACAAUUUAUUCAUAAACUACCACACUUUUAUUUUUUACUAAUAAAUAAUUCUUUUAAAAAAAUAAUCUAUCUAAUUUACUUUUUAAACACUCCGAAUCAAAACAUAGUUAAAAAUAUAUUUUGUUAUCCAAAUUCAUUACAAAACAAUUGUUCAUUUAUUUACUUUUCCUCGAAUAUUACCAUUUAUUCAUAAAUUACGGCAUCUUGACGUUUUUAUCAAUAUAUAAUUUUUGUAAAACUAUCAUUGCACAAAAUUUUGUAAUGUAUUUACUAAAAAAAAAAAGUAUUUAUUAUAAAAGAAAUUAAAUUGAAAAAAUAAUUGUUUUACAAGAAAAAUUACAUACAUAAGACUAUUUUGAGAAAAAAUCUAAUGUCUAUUAGGUUAAAUGUUGUUAGAGUGUCAACGUGCCUGUCGUGCUGUGGCUGUGCCCCUUUUCUUUCCGUGCCAAUCGUUGCUUCGUACCGUGGCCGUGCCUGACCUUUACUUAACGUGCCUUGUCCCGUGCGUGCCUUAAUCGUGCCGUGCCAUUUUUAAUUGUGGCCGUAUUUGCCAUUUUUUUCUUUAUUCAGUCGUUGUGCCGUGUCUGUUCCAUUUUGUAACCGUGUCAAUGCGUGCCGGGCCUAAUUUACUUAAUCGUGCUAUGUCGUGCCGGCCCGUUAACUUAGUCAUAUGACUCGUGCCAUGCCUUGCUGUGCCCGUAUAAUCAAUCGUUGCCGUGCCAUGCUCAUAUUUUAAUCGUAUCGUGUUGUAUUGUGUCGAUCCAUUUGUAUCGUGUCGUGUAGUGCUGUCUGACUCACUUAACCGUGUGACUCGUCGUGCCAUCACUACAAGAAAUUGAAUUUUGGUAUUUGGUGACGAGUUAAUAUUUUUAUUGUUUUUAUUUUUUUUAUUUUGACAAGUUAAUUGAUUUCAUUAAAUUUUAUUUUAAUUUAUUUAAUAAUUAAUCAUUUCUAGCCACUUCCGUGUCGUGCCCUUGACACUUUCGUGUCAUGCUCAUGUCGUGCCUGACUAAGUCUGUGCCGUGCCGUGCCGUGCCAAGUCAACUAUCGUUUCGUGCCCGUGUCGUGUCGUGCCGGGAUUUGACCGUGCCGUAUCGUGCCGUGCCAUGUCAGGCCAACUAUCGUGCCGUGCUUAUGCCGUGCUCCACCAUUUCCGUGCCUCGUGCCCGCUCAGACUGUGCUGUGCCAUGCCGUGCCGUGCCCAACUUAUACCGUGCCCGUGCCGGGUUUUUUCGUGCCGUGCCCAUGCCUUGCCGUGCCGGCAAGGCCCGCUUGACACCUCUAAAUGUUGUGUUGAGAAAAAAAAUAUAAAAAUUCUAAAAAUAAGGCCAAACUUGUUAUUUUUUCCUAAAAAUUAACUCUAGGAGGAAUCUGGAUAAUAAAAAAUAAUUUCUAUUUCAGCAACUACAGAGGAGGCUCUGUAUUUGUCAAACUUUUCAUGAGAGGUCAUUAAAAUUUAUUCAAAUUUAUUUUGUUAAAAAUCAUUCUAGUCUCAUGUAUCAUGGUUCAACUGCAGGACACAAUGACCAGACAGAAAGGGGACAUUUGCAUUUAUAAAUCACGAAAUUUUAUAAUUUUGAGGAGACAAAUAUAAAUACAAACUACGAAUUUUGUAGCUCAUGCAUAAAAUGUAACACUAAUUUCAACUUUGUAAUUUAAAAUUAUCCGUGGUUAAUAUUACUAUAAAAUUGGAAUUUAAUUUUGCUAAGCUGAUCGCCCUUAGCCGCCAAUCUUGGGUCCAUCACUUAUAUAUAUAAAAUAAUAAUUAGCUAAUAUUUACAAAAAAAUCUUUUAUUAAAAAUCUUUUUAACCUUGUAUAUCACAUGUCAACUGCUAUUCAUCCUGUGUGUGUAUAUUACACAUUUGAUAUUUUUUAGGAAAAGCAAUUAGUUAACAUUUACAAAAAUUUAUUUUGUUAUAAAUCUUUGGAGGAAAUUUAGAAAAUAAAAAAUAUGUUUGACAUCAAUAACAAAUUAAACUCAACAGUUUUAAUUUCUUAUAUACAUUACACAUUCGAUAUUUUUGUAAGAAAAACAAUUAGCUAAUAUUUACAAAAGUUUAUUUUGUUAAAAAUCUUUGUAAAAAUUAUUCAAAAAACCCUUGAGUUUGACAUCAAUAACAAAUUAAAUUUUAUAAUUUUAAUUAUAAUAAAUUAAAUCCUAAAAUUUUGAUAUGAACACAAUUAAAAUCAUCCGUCAUUCGUUGUUUUAGUAGGCUUGACAAAACAAAACGUUUCUUGCCAAAUUGUUUUUGAAAAAACGAUGUAUUUUAGAGUUAUCAUCCUUUAAAAUCUCCAUCGAUGCAACUAGGACUCAUUUUAAAGUUAAAUGUUAAAAUUACUUUUUAAUUUUUUACUACAAAAUGAUCUUUAAUUGCAUCAAUUAAACGGUUAUCACAUUGAAAGACAUCAUUAUUUUAUUUUUUAUUAAGAAUUAGUUAGUUUUGUCAACUCUAAUGAAACGGAGAUUGGUGGAGAAUUUUAAUUACAAUUAGAUCAAAAUUCUAGGAUUUAAGUUGUUAUAAUUAAAACUAUAAUAAUUAAUUCGUUGCUGAAGUAAAACCUUGGGGUCUAUUUUGUGAUUUCCCCAAUUUUAUAACCUCGUACGGUCAACUGCUAUUUUUGUACGAAUCUGCUAGUCAUCUUUAACUUCGCCGAAAGAACACACUCAUCAGUGCUUUAAAUUUAUGGGGAGGCGUCAGGUUGUUACAAAACUUGUUAGCCUCAUGCACUGCGGGUAGAGGUGUCAAACGUGCCCAUCGUGUCGUGUCGUGUCGUGUUGUGCUGGCCCACUAACUUAGUCGUGUAACUCGUGUUGUGCCGUGUCGUGCCCCGUCUACUCAUUCGUGUCGUGUCGUGCCGUCCCACUUAACUUAAUCCGUGCCCGUUCCGUGCGGCCCGCUAACUUAGUCGUGUGACUCCCGUGCCGUGUCAUGCCCUUCUACUUAAUCGUGUCGUGUUCCGUUUUUUAAUUAAAGACAAUUACAAUAGUUUUGUAUUAAGAUAAUACACAAGAAUUGUCCAAAUUUAUAAAUAUUUUGACACUAUAAGGGCCUUUUCCAUAAAAUCAUAAAAAAUUUGUGAAUGUAGGCUUAUUUGGUCUAAUCAAUUUUGACCUAUCAAUUCAAAAUUUUAAAAUUUUGAUUUUUAUUAUUAAAAUUUUAUUUUGAUUUUUUAUCAUUUUUAAAAUCAAAUAAAAUUUUAUUUUUGUCUUAUUAUAAUCUAAUAUGGGCCAUAAGUCAAAAUUUUCAAUUUUUGUUUUUAAAAUUUAAUUUUUAAAAUUUUUUUAAAAUUUUUUAUUUUUUUAUUUCAUAAUUUUUUUAAAAUUUUUUUCUCAAUUUUUUUCUUAUUAUGACAUUUGGAAAAGUCAAUUUAUUUAAUAAAAUAUAAUUUUUUAUUAUUUAUUUAUUUAUGGCCUAGCCCAUGACACAAGUCAAUUUAUUUAUUUACUUACUUUUUUUUAUUUUUUAUAAUUUUUUUUAUUAUGCAAGUCAAUUUCAUUUACAUUAAUUUAUUUUAUUUUAUUUAAUAAAUUAAAUAAUUUUUUGCCACUUCCGUGUCGUGGCCUGCCAUGACACUCCGUGUCAUGCCCGUGCUGCUUGACUAUCUGGUCGUUCCCGUUCCGUGUCGUGCACCCAAACCAACUAUGGUGCCGUGUCGGCUUUGACCGUGCCGUGCUAUGUCGGCCAACUUCGUGCCAUGCCCGUGUUGUGCUCCACCAUUUUCGUGCCUCGUGCCCGUACCCGUGCCCAUUCAAACCGUGCCAUGCUCAACUUAUACCGUGCCCAAAUCGUGCUCGUGCCGAGUUUUUUCGUGUCGUGCCCGUUCCGUGCCGGCAAGGCCCACUUGACACCUCUAACUGCGGGUCAUCUUCUAAGAGAGAUGACGACGAAACAGAGAGCCCAACUUGUAUAAAUAUUACAUGUUUCUUUUUUUUAGAAUACUCUCUCUCUUUGGGUUCAUCACUCUUCAAGUACAUAUUUAAUAUUUAUUUUAAAAAAAUAAUUAUUUAAUAUUUACAAAAAAUUAUUUUGUUAUAAAACUUUAAACAGAAUUAUUAGAACCGAACCGGACAUUGAACCGGUUAACCACCGUUAAAAAAAAACAACAACCACAGUUCAACCGGUUUAUAAUUAAUAAAUAAUAAAAAUUAUUUUAAUUAUAAAUAAUAAAAAUUAUUUUUUUUUAUAAUACCCUUCCAACUACUAUGUAAGGUAUUUUAAAAGUGAUUAUAGAAAAUAUAAUUUAAAAAUAUAAAAAUAAAUUACAUAGAAUAUUACUAAUUGUAACCUCCUUAUAUAUAAUUUAAAAUAACGCUUAGAAAAAAAUUGGCCAAAAUGGGUUUACAUAAAUUCUAUAUCUAUCGUAAAUAAUAAUAAUAAUAAAAAAUUAAUCCAUAAAAAAAAUAUUAAAAAAUUCAAAAUUCGGGUUUUUAACCUCUUGUAAGGGUGAUCAUUCUUAUAGGAUGAUGACGAAACAGAGAGGGACACUAGUAUAAAUGUUAUACUUUUCUGUUUUUUAGAAUGCUCUCUCUGUUUGGGUUUAUCACUCUCUCUAGUAUAUAUUUAAUAUUUUUUUAAGAAAAAUAAUUAUUUAAUAUUUAAAAAAAAUUAUUUCGUUACAAAACUUUUUAACCUCUUGUAUCACGGGUGGUCAUCUCUCAGAGGACGAUGACGAAACAGAGAGGGUCACUCGUAUAAAUGUUACACGUCUCUUUUAUUCAGAAUGUUCUUUCCCUCUAUUUGGGUUCAUCACUUUCUUGUUAGUACAUAUUUAAUAUUUAUUUAAAAAACAUAAAUAUUUAAUAUUUACAAAAAUUUUAUUUUGUACAAAACCUUUUUAACCUCUUGUAUCACGGAUUGUCAUCCUCUUAGCAAAUGAAGGCCAAAAUAGAGAGGGACACUAGUAUAAAUGUUACACAUUUUGAUGUGAGGUAAAGUAUUCGCCCAUUAAUAUUCAAGCACGUCAUCUGAAAAGUUACAUCGCCAGACACCAAUCUUGUGAAAUCCCAUCUCCGCAUUAGAGUGCCAAAUAAUUCUUCGAACCCUCUUGACCGAGGUAAAACGAGUCCAAAGUCCUACAUAGAACCUCGCCGUACUGUCUCCACUGAGCUCGCCCAGAGUCUUGUCAUCAAGGUACUCCUCAGUUGGUCUGCAGCAAGUGUGUUGUCUCUUCCUCAUCUUUGGGCGAGGUAUAAUACGUAGCUUGAUCAAUCUCUCCUUGAAUCAUAUCUAUACAUGGAAACUGCCCGUUGCGAGAUUCUCUCCUCCACAACACCUAAGAUCGCGGGAUACUCUCCAAAUAGCUGUCUCCCCAAUUAACUCUCCUACAUCUUCGGGAUACACUUUCAUACUUGGCCAUCCGAGGAUCUCCCGUGAUCCACUCACACGGCCCAUCAUUCUCCACCUAUAUAAAGGCCGCUCCCCCAUCUUAAAGAGGUACUAUUUACUUUUGGCAUGCAUUGAUGGAUUUUGUCACUACCUUAGAGAUUAAGGUCACUUACACUACCUUACGAUAGAUUUUUUCAUAGGCUUACAACGUUCGAGUCGAGAAAACGAUACUAUUUAGGUAGUUGUCGAUCGCCUCACCAAGUCAGCACAUUUCUUAGCUAUGAAGAUUACGCACAAGUUUGAUACACUUGCCAAUCUGUACAUAAAGGAAAUUGUUCGCCUUCAUGGAACGCCUAUGUCUAUCGUAUCAGAUUGCGAUCCGCGGUUCAUUUCACAAUUUUGGAAAAGUUUUGCAAGCAGAUAUGGGAACCCAAUUGAAUUUUACCACUGCUUUUCACACUCAGACUGACAAACAAUUGGAAAGAGUGAUGCAGAUACUGAAAGAUUUAUUACAUCUAUGCACGUUAAAUCUCAAAGGAAGUUGGGAAGAGCAUCUAUUAUUAGUGGAAUUUGCCUACAACAACAGUUAUCAAGCGAGCAUCAAGAUGGACCCAUUUGAAGCGUUGUAUGGAAGGAAAUACCGAUCCCCAAUUUGCUGAACUAAAGUUGAAGAUGGAAGACUCUUAGGUCCUCAAAUUGUGUAAGAAACCACAGAGAAGAAUGCCUUAAUACAACAACAAAUUCGUAUAGUCCAAAGUCAUCAAAAGAGUUAUGCAGACAAAUGCCGAAAAGAUUUGGAAUUUUCACAAGGAGAUCACGUAUUUUUGAAGAUAUCCCCAUCUAGGGGUAUCAUUCAUUUUGGGAAGAAAGGGAAGCUAAACCCACGUUAUAUUGAACCGUUUGAAAUUUUGGAGAGGAUUGGCCUAGUUGCCUAUCGCCUUGCUCUGCCGCUAGACUUGGCAAAUGUCCACCAUAAUUUUUUCGAUGUUGAAGAAGUAUUCUACGACCCAAGCCAAUGUUAUUGACUCACCAGCCGUUAUGAAAUACGAGGAGAUUUUCAUAUGAUUUGAAACAACCCUUCAAGUUCUACAACCGACGCGAUCAGUACUUCGGGAACAGGUCAUUUCCUCCGCUUGUGUGAGUUCUGGGCAGAACCCAACAAACGGAAAGUCGCACUGGGAGGAGAGCCGAAAUGCGACGUACUCCCUUUUUCUCUUCGAAAUGUAAAGUAGGAGUUCUAAAGUUGAGGACAAACUUUUUUGUAAGUGUGGAGUGGAAAGAUGUAAAUCCCCAAACUUUUAAAAAAUUAAAAAUUUCCUCAAGAAAUAUAUAUAUAGAUAUAUAUAUCUAUAUAUGUAUGUAUAUUAUCUAUAUAUACCACGAUAUACAUGAUUAGUAAAAUGUCUGUUAAUCUAUGUGAAAUAAUAGCAUGUUAUAUAUACAUAUUAAUCAAUGAUUCUUAGAAAUUUUUAACGAAAGUAGAAUUAUCUGUUAAAUCGUAAUUACCAAAAAUGAACACAGCAAGUAUGUAUGAAUAAACCAUGUGAAUCAAUAGGGAUCAAAUAAUGGUGUAAAUCAAUCCAUGUGUUAUUAUUUGAUCAAAUCAACCAUAUCAUGUAAGUCAAAUCCCACAAAUCUCCUAACCACCCCAUCACCCACUCCCUCACCCCAUGUUGUCCCAGCAUAAAUGCUAAGACUUGCCCUCACACCAGCAAAGAGAGAGAGAAAGAGAGAGAGAGAGAGAAGAGAGAGGAGAGAAAUAAGGAUGAGGAAAAGAGAGGGUAGUAGCUCUAAGAGUACGAGAGAUAGGAAGAAGAAGAAGAAAUGGAGAAAGAAGAAAGGAAAAUGUUUAGAAAUCCUCAACGAUUUCACAAGGUAACUUCAUGAAUUUUUCUUUUGUUUUAGAUUCCAUAUUUUACGAUUUAAAAAGUGUCUAAAUACUCUAGGAUGGGUGUUAGGCUCUAUCCCUGUUAAAUUUCAAAAUACCAUGAAAUAAUGGCAGGGGAGGAUGCCAUUUUUUUAAGAUCAAGAAUCAACCAUGUUAGCUAUUUGUUAUCAAAAAUUAGCUAAUCGUAUUUUUUGAACCAUCACUUCUCUUCAUACAAAAAAUAUUUUAGGUCGAUUCAAUGGCACACGUUGGAUAGCUAUUUCAAAUACCUACAAUUUUGCUUUUAUAUAGCAUUCUUCAAUUCUAAUGUUAGAUGGCCUAAAACAGGGAUCGAAUGUUUGGACAAAAAAGCUGAGUUCCUCGCAUUUUUUCAUUCAAAGUGUCUACUCUAACCACCACAACUGCCGAUUGAAACUUUUGCUCUCAACCGGUUGAACUUUUCUCAACCAUUUGAACCUUUUUUCAAUCGUUAAAUUUCACAGAAAAACUAUUUUUUUUUGACUACAAACAUACAUCCAUGGGUUUAGCCUAUACUUAUUAAAUAAACUUAAUUACAAUUAAUAAAUACUUACAAGGUUCUAAUUGCUAAUCAGUCAUGAUGAAACAUACAAGAUUAAAUCCAACUAGCCCUAAGUGAACCCCGAACGAGAGUGUAUCGCAACACAAACGCAAAUAAGUAACCUACUCUCUAAGGUAACCCUUGUAAUUUAUAUUUUUUAAUAAAAAUCAAAUUCUUUUUUUGGUUACUUUUUUUCUUAUUUUUUUUUUAUGAAACCCUUUCAUUCAUUUAAUAUUUUAAAAUAUUUUAUUAUUAUUUUUCUUUUAAUACCCUUUGAGUAAGUGGAGUUAAAAAAAAUGAAUCCCCUUUUUUUAUUUUUUUUUCUUUAAUGUACUCUUUAUUUUUUUUAUUUUUAUUAAUUAUUUUUUCUUUAAUACCCUUGAUUAAAUUGUUUAACAAAAAUUAAAUCACUUUUUUGUUAUUUUUUUAAUUGUCUUUAGGUACACUUUUAUGUUUUUUUAAUACCCUUUGAAUUUAUUUUUUAUUUUUUAUUUUUUCUUUAUACCCUUUGAUUCUCUUUUUUUUUUAAUACCAUUUUGGGAGAUAUUAGGUAUAAAAAUUAAAAAAAUAAAUCUAAGUAGAUGAAAAGAGAAAAAAAUCAAAUGGUAUUAAAAAAAAUAGCCAAAGGAUAUUAAAAAAAAAAUAAAACACAUAAAAUAAAACAAUAAAAAGAUACAACAAAUAAAAAAAGUAGCCAAAAAUGAUUCAUUUUUUGUUAAAAAAUAUUAAUCAAAAGGUAUUAAAGAAAAAUAAAUAAAAGUAAAAAAUAAAAAAAAAUAAAGAGUACAUAAAGAAAAAAAUAAAAAAAUUACAAAAAGAGAAUUUGUUGCUUUUAUUAAUAAAAUUCAGUCAAGUAAUUAAAAGAAAAAUAAUAAUAAAUAUAAAAUAUCAAUAAAAUAAAAGGCUACAAAAAAAAAUAAGAAAAAAGUUAACAAAAGAGAAUUUAUUUUUAUUAAAAAAUUUGAAUUAAAGGGUAGAUUAAUAAAUAUUAAUAAUAAAAAUAAAAAAAAGAACAAAUAAAAGGGUGCAAAAAGCGAGAGAGAGGAUGAAUGAGAAGAGAGAGACGAGGGCAAUUCUUGGUUCAAUUUCAUAACUGGCUAAGAAAGUGGUAAAAAAGUAUUGGUGUCACGGGGUGUGGCAGGUAAUUGUUUAAAAUUUCAGGAAGGUAGGACACCACUGAUAACUUUUUUUUGUGUAUUACAAGAAAAAAAAAUAUCAGGGAAGGUCAGUGUAAUUCUCCCUUUUUAUUAAAACAAAUUUGUGUUUUGGGGGGGUAAGUUUACAGGAGUAUAGCUAUAGGAGAGCUGUUAUUUAGAGUGGUGUUUUUUUAAUUUUACUUUUUAAUCUAUAUAUGUGAAAAAUAUAUAUUUUUUAGUAUCCAAACAGGGCCUACCUAAGGCAUGCAAUACUCUCCCAUUUCCUCAUUUUUUUUCUGAAAAAUUUGUUGAUUCAUGAAUGUGUUAACACAUUUGGUUAUUCAUGAUUCAAUUCGGUUUGAUUUAAAAUUUUUGACCCUAAUAAUUAAAAUAAAAUUAGUACAGAAAAAGGCAUACUCAGAGUUCAACCCUUUAUUGUCUCUCUCUCUGGGUCCAUCACUCUCUCCCUUUAUUACACACUAGUAAUUGUCCAUGCCUGGGCACUAUUAAAAAAAAGAUUAUUUAGUAAAUUUUUUUUAUAGAUUAAUUAAUAUUUUAUACUUUUUUUCGCAUUUGUUUUGGGGGGGGGGGGGGGGGGUUUCUUGUGCUCCCCCGCCUUUCAAAUUUUAAAAAUUCUCUCCCCCUCCCCCCUCUUUUUCUCUACCCAAUUCCAUAAUUUUCUUAUAUAUUUGCACUCUUAUCAUAAAACUAAUAAAUAAGAUAGCACUUUUUGAUCAAUAAUCAAAACUUUUCAUCAAUCCCCAACACAUCCCACAUGAAUAGCAAAGAAAACGGGUGUUUUAAUUUUUUUAUGUGGGUCCCACUAAAAAAUUUCAUGAGUAAAAUAUCUGCCAACUUUUAAAAAAAAUUAUUCAUUGGAUCAUAACUUAUACAGAAACUACAUAUUUGAAAAUAAGAAAGUGAUAAUUUUGAGAGGAAAAAAAUAAUCUCAGGUGAAAUCUCAGUCAUUGGAUUAAUUCAAAUUGAUUUCAACCUUAAAUAGUGGGAGAUAGUUUUUUGAAUUCAAAAAGAAAAACAAUUAUCUAAUAUUUAUUGAAUUUAACCUCUUGUAUACGGGCAUCAUCUCUUAUAGGACGAGGAUGAGACAAGAAGGGACACUUGUACAAAUGUAACACAUUUUUUGUUUUUUUGAGAAGGCUACCAGCAAGCCUUUUAUUGGCGCUCUCUCUCUUUGGUUCCAUCACUCUCUCUCUAUUACACUUGAUAUUUAUUUAAGAAAAAUAAGGUAAUUAAUUUUCGCACUCUUAUAAUUGAUAUCUACACUCCAAAUAGGAGUAGCAAGAAAUAAUACCAUAUUGGAUAUGAUUUAUGCACUCAUUAUUUUGGAGGUAAAGAUAUACAUACUGAGCCCAGUGUAAGAUAAUCAUUUCCCCAAAAAUAAUUUAUUAUAACUAUUUAUACAAAUAUAUUUUGUUGCAAAACUUUUUAUAUUCUUCGUUGUCCUCAACCUACCUUGGUUCAACCAAUUAAACCUUGUAAGUUCGCCGUGGUUCAGUUAAACAGAGAAGCCUCAUCUACUUUGUUCAAUAAAGGUCAACCGUGCACGUCGCCUAAGGAUAUAGCCUCUCAUCUCAACAUCAAUUAAUCGAGGUCAAGCCGCGCAUGGCUGACCACCGAGGGGUUAAAACAUUAUUUACUAAAAGACAUGGGAUGAAAAGUUCUUUUCACAAAUAGAAGCAGACACAAUUCGUAGUUAUCCCCUUCUGUCUAAAACAAUUUCUGAACCAUAAUAAAAAUUUCUUUUUUUAGAAAAAAAAAAAAGUUAUUUUCACAAAUAGAAGCAGACAAUAUACCAGUCGAGCUGCGACUAAUCUAUGACUAGGAUAUAUAGCUAUGUAGCCUAUGUUUGUUCUGUUUCCCUUGAGAAUCCUAUGCUAACGUGAGCCGAUGUGAAUACACAACACAAGAAUUCCAUGAACCAUACUGGUUUCCUCCAUGACCAGAAAAAAAAUCUUAAAUACAGUUGGGAAUUUUUAUUUUUUCAAAAUCAUGAUCGAUAUUCAUUAUUAUUGCCUUUACCAUAUAGUCAAGUAUCCUGAAAUUAAGGUGAAAAAUAUUUAGGCACUCAGGAUAACUUUUUCUGCAGCCCUAAUUCUGCAGUGUUCAGUGAUGAGUCUGUUUGGAGAUUUAUGCAAAAAAAUAACAGAAUUAUAAAGUUUUUUGAAAAAUCAAAAUAAUUUUUUUUCCAAAUAUAGAUUCUGAAAAAUUCUAAAUUUGUAAAAAUACUGAAUUUGCAAUACAUUAAAAAAUAGUUUUAAAACAAGUUCAUGGUAUCAUUCCUGCAAUUCAAAUAUAAUACCCGAACAAAAAUUAUUUUUUAGAAUUUAAUUGUCGAUCACGAGAUCAAAAUUUUUCUUAAGUUUGUUGAAAAAAAAUUUACGGCGAACACAUAAUUCCAAUUAAUGAUUGUCAUUGAUAGCAAUUGCAUAUAAAGUAAACUAAAUUAUAAUUACAAAAAAAAAAAGUAGGAAUAAGAUACAAACAGAAUUAUGAUCUGAGUUAUGCAAAUGCAAUCUCUUUAAGAAAGAUUCGUCAAGGAGAAAGAUUCGCCGCCUACCAAGUGUGUUGUAGUUUUUUAAUUGAACUAUAAUGGGAGGAGUUUAUCUUCAAAAGAAAUCUUCUUAAUUGACCUCUAUAAGUGAGAAACCUACCAAAAUUCCAAGAGAAUGCUGAAAUCUGAAAAAUUAGAGAGGAGAGAGGCUGGGGAAGGUCUCACUUGGGCAGGAUUUUUUUGGUGUAAUUUGGAUCAUAGUUCUUAAAAAACUGGACCCGAACCGGACGGUCAAUUGGGAACCGACCUACAUCGGUUCAGUAAUAUAUUUUAACCGAAAAUACAAACGAACCAUAUUGAACCGGUUGAACCGGCCAAUUUUUUUAACCUGUUGAACCGGUCGAUUUUUUAAUAGAUAAUUAAAAUUUUAAUUGUUGCCAGUUUGGCCCCAAAAUUUUGAAUUGAAAUGGUGAAUUUUGAUUUUUUUAUAUUUUUUUUUACUAUAUUUUUUUUUACUAUUAGUUAUUACUCAUAUAAUAUAUAAUUUAAACCCAUUUGCUAAUUUUUUCAAAGUAGUUGAAAAUUAUAAUAAUGAGUUGCAAUUAGUAAUAUUUCAUGUAAGACUUUUGAUACUUUUUAAUAUAUUUCUAUAAUCACCUUUAAAUUCCUACAUAAUAGUUGAAUGGGUAAAAAAAUUAUUUUAUUAUUCUAUAAUGAAGAAAAUAUUUUUUCAUUAUUCAUUAACUUAUAUGACCAGUUGAACCGUGAUUGAACCAGUGAACUGUUUGAAACACGCGGUAUUUUGACGGUUCAUGUUUUCGUUCGAUUCUGCUAACUAUGCUUUGGAUACUCUUUUUUUUGGGUGAAGUUUUACAUCGUUUAUCAAACCAUCCGAAUCGAUCGGUUAUAACCAGUUUUAAAAACUGAAUCGUGCACUAAAUCGGUUCGGUAAAUAUAUAUUUUAUUACGAAAUACAAUGACCGGAUUUGAACUAGUUGACCGGUCGAUUUUUUAACAGAUAAUUAAAGUUGUAAUUUUUGCAGUUUGGACCCAAAAAUUUUUUCAAUUUAUAAUUUUUUUAAUUUUUUUUUAUUAUGAUUAAUUUACUAUUAUUAUUAUUCACGAUAGAUAUAUAAUUUAAACCUAUGGCCCAUUUUUUUCUAAGAAUAUUUUAAAAAUUAAUAUAAUGAGUUGCAAUUAGUAAUAUUUCAUGUAAUAGUUUGAUACUUUAAAUAUGUUUUUAUAAUACCUUUUAAAAUACUUAUAUAGUAGUGAAUGGGUAAAAAAAAAUAUCUUUUUUAAUUUUUAACUUAAUAUAAGACUGGUUGAAUCAUGGUUGAACCAGUGAACCGUUGAACCGGUACUUUGAACGGUUCAAUGUCCAGUUCAGUUCUGAUAAUUAUGAGUUUACAGGAAGUAUAACUAUAGGAGAACUUUUAUUUAGAGUGUUUUUUUUUUCAUUUUACUUUUUUAAUCUAUUAAUGUGAAGAAAAAAAUAAUAUAAUUUAAAAAAUUUAUUCAUUAAAAAUUAUUUGAUAUUUAUAUUACACAUUUGAUAUUUUUUUAAGUAAAAUAAUUAACUAACUUUUACAAAACUUUAUUGGGAAAAUUUCACUGACAUCAUUUUAUAUUUUUCACAAAUACAAUCACUUCCCUUAUAAUUUUUAUUAAACCAGCAAAGAUCUUUUUUUACUUUUGAAACUAUUAUCAAAUUCUCCCCAAGUUUUUUUUUUUUAGAAAUGACGAGAUUGUCCUAAUUAGGGCUUUAAUAUUUCAAUUAAAAAUAAUUGAUUUCAUUAGAAAAUUUAAGACAAGUUAGAUUUAUUGAGAAAAAGAUAUAUCCCAUUAGUUAAUGGUGGGUGUGUUGAGAUUUUUUUUUUUUUUUUUUAAAGAGAUGUCAAGGAAAUUUAUUCAAAUUUGUUUUGUUAAAAAUCUUUCUAGCCUUAUGUAUCAUGGUUCAACUGCCGGUCAUAAUGACGAGACAUAUAGGGGACAUGUGCAUUUACAUCUCAUGGAAUUUUAUAAUUUUGAAGAAGCAAAUGUACAUACAAACCACAAAUUUUGUAUCUCAUGUAUAAAAUAUAAUAAUAUAACACUAAUUUCAAUUUUAUAAUUUGAAAAUAUUUGUGGUUAAUUUUUCUAUAAAAUUGGGAUUUAACUUUGAUGUGGUAAUUGCCCCUAGCCGCCAUCCUCGGUUCCAUCACGUGUAUAUAUAUAAUGUUAAAAUUAUUUUUUUGAUUUUUGGUGAAAAAUGAGGAUUUUAAAAAAUCUUUCUAGCAUCUUGUAUCAUGGUUCAACUAUUGGUCAGAAUGACGAGACAGAGAUGGGACAUUUGCAUUUAUAGAUCACAGAAUUUUAUAAUUUUGAAGAGAUGAAUGUAUAUACAAAAUUUCAUAGAUCAUGAGUAAAAUAUAACAUUAAUUUCAACUUUGUAAUUAAAUAAUAUCCAUAAUUAAUAUUACAAUAAAAUUGAAACUCAACUUUGUUUAUGGUGAUCGUCCGUAGCCUCUAUCCUCUGGUCCAUUAGUUAUAUAUAUUACACGGUGAUACUUAUUCUAAGAAAAAUAAUUAGUUAACAUUUUUAAAUAAAUUAUUUUGUUAAAAAUCU
rnacentral:lncRNA from 1 species